UACGAAGGGGGCUAGCGUUGCUCGGAAUCACUGGGCGUAAAGCGCACGUAGGCGGACUCUUAAGUCGGUGGUGAAAUCCUGGAGCUCAACUCCAGAACUGCCUUUAAUACUGGCAAUCUCGAGUCCGAGAGAGGUGAGUGGAAUUCCGAGUGUAGAGGUGAAAUUCGUAGAUAUUCGGAGGAACACCAGUGGCGAAGGCGGGUCUCUGGGCCGAUACUGACGCUGAGGAGCGAAAGCGUGGGGAGCAAACAGG
rnacentral:rRNA from 1 species